UUCACUUCCUGGUGUGGGCCUCCGCACACUGGCACUGAGCCCUGGGGAAACCCAAGGACGGCCCCAACUGCAGUCCCCUGACCCUGACAUGCCCCAGGCGGGCCUCAGGACAGAGAUUUUCCAGGCCAGGCUCCCCCUGCCCUGGGGGGAUUGGAGGAAUCCUAGCGGAGCACAAGCUGCCCAGCACAGCCCCUCCAGCCCUGAAGCCUGAGGCCAGCAUCUCAGGACACAAGAGGCCAGGCUGGCCCACACCCAUUCUGCAGGCCAGAGCCAUCCUGCCACAGCCAACCCUGCCAGCACCAGGCUGCCCAGCCCCCAGCCAACUGGGCUUAACCAGGGUGGUGGGGGCUGGCACCCAACCCCAGCGCCACAGCUCUGGCCCUGCCUUGGUGGGCAGAUGGAGAGCACACCCAGAGAAGCCGUGGUUCUCAGCCCUCUGGACACCAAGGAGGACCCCAGCUCCAACCCCAGCCCCACACAGGGACACAGUGGCAAGGCCCAGACCUACACCCUGGCAGGUAAAUACCUAGGAGUGGAGUAUCUGGAUCAGACAGAAAUAUGGACACUUUAUUUAUGUGAAAGAGUCAGGAGAAGAACUGGCCACAGUGGAUUCUACGAGUCUAAAAUGAUUUCAUGAUAAGAAGUCUGUGAUGAUGGCCGUUAUGGAAAACAGCAUGGAGAUUCCCAAAAAACUGAAAACAGAACCACCACGUAAUCCAGCUGUCCCACUCCCGGGCGUGACACGCGGAGGCCACAUCAGUACGCAGAAGAGACACCCGCACCCCAUGUUCGCCGCAGCGCUGUCCACUACGGCCAGACAUGGAACCAGCCUCAGCGUCCAGCAGCCAAGGAAGGUGCAUCCACGUCAGAGAACUGUUCCUCCACAGAAGAGGGAAUUGUGUCAUUGGUGCCGACAUGGAUGAACUGCAGGACUUCAUGCUGAAUGAAGGAAGCCAGGCCCAGAAAGACAGACACUGCAUGAUCUCACACAUAAGUGGAGCCUAGAAAAGUUGAACUCACAGAAGCAGAGAGAGGACCCAGGGACAUAGGGGCUGGGAACUGGGGAGGGGUUGGUCCAAGAGUACAAAGUUUCUGUUACAGACCGUGCACAGUGGCUCAUGCCUGUAAUCCCAGCACUUUGGGAGGCAGAGGCAGGCAGAUCACCUGAGGUUAGGAGUUCGAGACCAGCCUGGCCAACAUGAUGAGACCCCCGUCUCUACUGAAAAUACAAAAAUUAGGCCAGGCGCGGUGGCUCAUGCCUGUAAUCCCAGCACUUUGGGAUGCUGAGGCGGUCAGAUCAUGAGGUCAGGAGAUCAAGAUCAUCCUGGCCAACAUGGUGAAACCCCAUCUCUACUAAAAAUACAAAAAUUAGCUAGGCAUGGUGGCAGGCGCCUGUAAUCCCAGCUACUCAGAAGGCUGAGGCAGGAGAAUCGCUUGAACCCAGGAGGCGGAGGUUGCAGUGAGCCAAGAUGGCACCACGGCACUCCAGCCUGGCAACAGAGUGAGACUCCGGUUCAAAAAACAAACAAACAAAAAAAUUAGCUGGGCGUGGUGGCGGGUGCCUGUAAUCCCAGCUACUCCAGAGGCUGAGGCAUGAGAGUUGCUUGAACCUGGGAGAUAGAGGUUACAGUAAGCCGAGAUCGUGCCACUGCACUCCAGCCUGGCGACAGAGCAAACUCCAUCUCAAAAAGAAAAAAAAAGUUCCGUUAGACAAAAGGAAUAAAUUCAAGAGAUGUACUGCACAGCAUGGUGACUACAGUUAAUAACACCAUAUUGCAUCCUUGAAAAUCAUUAAGAGAGAGAAAAAAAGAAAGAAAAUCAUUGCGAGUAGAAUUUGAGUGUUCUUACCACAAAAAAAUGGGAAGUAUGUGAAGUCAUGUGUGUUAUGCUGCUUGAUUUAAGCACAAUGUAAACACGUUUCAAAACAUCACAUUGGACAUGAUAAAUAUAUACAAUAAAAGAACAAAAUACAUUUGCAAAACGAAGCAUUAUUAUUGUGCAGGCUCUGCUGGUCGCCUGGUCUCAGUUCUGGUCUUGGCUGGACUCUGGGUCUAGUCCUCUCUCCGCAGCAAUCCGGUGUCCCCUCGACGGACAGGAUCCCCGGCCCCGCCCGCCGGACAGCAAGCUCACAUUCUCUCUGUCGAUUCAGUGGGAAGAGAGGCCCCUGGGGACAGUCCCGACGUCGAACUCCACACGGCCAGCACCUCGACCCUGGAGGGAGUGCUCCUCCCUGAGGAAGCGGGACCUUCAAGCUAGAGUGAACGGUGGCUGUGUGGGCAGGCGGCUGGUGCGACAGGGACUGUGGCCGUGACUCCCACCCGUGAUUCCUGGAUACCAUCGCCACAGAGAAGCGGCACCGGACAUGGAUGGCGAGCACCUGGUCUGUUCUGCGGGGUUGCGCCCGUCCUUUCAGAGGGCCUCCUGGCCGGCGCCAUAACUGGUCUUCAGGGGCCGUCCCACGCUCUAUUAACCCGCUGCUCCUGGGAGCACUGCCUGAGCAUGGGAUGAGUCCUGCUGUGGGAAGCAGCAUCGGUGGGGGUGUGAUGGACAGUGGGGUGCUGUCGAGUCCGUGGACGAAGCCAUGGGCAGGAACAGCAAGUCCACAUUCAGAAAACUGCGAGGGCCUCCGUGACAGCUGACGACCUGUCCCUGUCCUGUCUGUGGAGGGCCGGCGAGGCAGGCGAGGACCCGUCCCUGGGGAAUGGCACCAUGAGGGGACCAGAUUGCUGCCCCUGGAGUCGGCAGGGCACUUGUGCUGCAGGGCCGUGCAGAGCCCCCAUCCCGCCACAUCCCACCUUCCUCUUGGGCCCCUGGGGCCUGCCUGGCAUGGCUGCUGAGUGACCGUGGGCGCUG
rnacentral:lncRNA from 10 species